rnacentral:rRNA from 1 species
GGGAUAACACCUGGAAACAGAUGCUAAUACCGGAUAACAACACUAGACGCAUGUCUAGAGUUUGAAAGAUGGUUCUGCUAUCACUCUUGGAUGGACCUGCGGUGCAUUAGCUAGUUGGUAAGGUAACGGCUUACCAAGGCAAUGAUGCAUAGCCGAGUUGAGAGACUGAUCGGCCACAUUGGGACUGAGACACGGCCCAAACUCCUACGGGAGGCAGCAGUAGGGAAUCUUCCACAAUGGACGAAAGUCUGAUGGAGCAACGCCGCGUGAGUGAAGAAGGGUUUCGGCUCGCAAAGCUCUGUUGGUAGUGAAGAAAGAUAGAGGUAGUAACUGGCCUUUAUUUGACGGUAAUUACUUAGAAAGUCACGGCUAACUACGUGCCAGCAGCCGCGGUAAUACGUAGGUGGCAAGCGUUGUCCGGAUUUAUUGGGCGUAAAGCGAGUGCAGGCGGUUCAAUAAGUCUGAUGUGAAAGCCUUCGGCUCAACCGGAGAAUUGCAUCAGAAACUGUUGAACUUGAGUGCAGAAGAGGAGAGUGGAACUCCAUGUGUAGCGGUGGAAUGCGUAGAUAUAUGGAAGAACACCAGUGGCGAAGGCGGCUCUCUGGUCUGCAACUGACGCUGAGGCUCGAAAGCAUGGGUAGCGAACAGGAUUAGAUACCCUGGUAGUCCAUGCCGUAAAC